rnacentral:tRNA from 1 species
GCAAUGGUGGUUCAGUUGUAGAACUCUCACCUGCCAUGUAGGAGACCCGGGUUUGAUUCCUGGCCAAUGCA